AGAUAAAAAAAUGCUCGGGACCAAUGGAGAUGAGUCCCGAGCGUAGGGGAAUGGCUCAAGGGAUUGAGCCGUGCGCUAACUCGAUAAAUUUGUACCGUAAAAUUUAGUGUAGCCAAGUCUUAGGUUUUUGCUAAAUA
rnacentral:sRNA from 1 species